rnacentral:rRNA from 1 species
GACGAACGUUGGCGGCGUGCUUAAUACAUGCAAGUCAACUGAAGCAGUGGUAGCAAUAUCGCUGUGGAGGUGGCGCACGGGUGAGUAACACGUAGGUAAUCUGCCUUCAGGUCUGGCAUAACUCCGGGAAACCGGGGCUAAUAGCAGAUGAUGCAGCGGCUCGACAUCGAGACAGUUGUUAAAGCUAUGGCGCCUGAAGAUGAGCCUGCGUCUGAUUAGCUAGUUGGCGGGGUAACGGCCCACCAAGGCAACGAUCAGUAGCUGGUCUGAGAGGAUGAUCAGCCACACUGGAACUGAGACACGGUCCAGACUCCUACGGGAGGCAGCAGUAAGGAAUAUUGCUCAAUGGGAGAAAUCCUGAAGCAGCAACGCCGCGUGAGGGACGAAGGGCUUUUGCUAGUAAACCUCUGUAGUGAGAGAAAAAAAUCCCAAUCUUUGGGACAUGAUGGUAUCUCAAAAGUAAGCCCCGGCUAACUACGUG